UACGUAGGGUCCGAGCGUUGUCCGGAAUUAUUGGGCGUAAAGGGCUCGUAGGCGGUUUGUCACGUCGGGAGUGAAAUUCCACAGCUUAACUGUGGAAUUGCUUCCGAUACGGGCAGACUUGAGGUAUUCAGGGGAGAACGGAAUUCCUGAUGUAGCGGUGGAAUGCGCAGAUAUCGAGGAGGAACACCGAUGGCGAAGGCAGAUCUCUGGGCCGUAACUGACGCUGAGGAGCGAAAGCGUGGGGAGCGAACAGG
rnacentral:rRNA from 1 species